rnacentral:rRNA from 1 species
UACGAGAGGUCCAAACGUUAUUCGGAAUCACUGGGCUUACAGAGUUCGUAGGCGGUACGGAAAGUGGGGUGUGAAAGCCCUCGGCUCAACCGAGGAACUGCGCUCCAAACUACCGUGCUAGAGGAAGAUAGAGGUGAGCAGAACUGAUGGUGGAGCGGUGAAAUGCGUUGAUAUCAUCAGGAAUACCGGAGGCGAAGGCGGCUCACUGGGCCUUUUCUGACGCUGAGGAACGAAAGCUAGGGGAGCAAACGGG